rnacentral:lncRNA from 1 species
UGGGACAAGAGGCAAAUUUAGUUGCAACUACACUGGUCACAAUCGAGAAAUUCUUGGUACAGCUGACGAUAAUGUAAUGUAAGGUGAUAAAUGAUAAUCCUUGUAUUUGUUGUGUUCUCUACUAUCUUUUUGCAGUGUCAAUGCAUGACAGGAUAUCACAACCAUUUUUAGCAGAUGAGCUAAAACUAUCAGGAGGAUUAAUAAUGAUUAGUGAUGCUGAGAAAUGUGUCAAUCAUUCUGGAUUUGUAAGGUAAUUAUGCCACACUUUUCUGCUUGUACUUCUUCUAGACAGGAAAAUCACAUUUUUUCCUCUUCUCCUCUGAGCAGUAAUUUCAAAUUCUAUUUUUAGUUUAUCGCAUCAAAUUCAUAAAACUAACUUUUGUAACGAAAAGUUUUUUCAAUUAUGCCUAUAUAAUCACUGGGAAAAAAAUGCAGUAUAAUGCUAAAUGAUCCUUUGUAGGUGACAAACGCGAGUUUUAGGACCACACAUGUAUACUUUCCGUGCAAUUCUUAGAUGAAAUUUGGCUGGAAAACUAUUUUUUACAUUUGACAGAACAAAAGUGGUGAAAUUUAUUGACAGGACAGCAAACUUUAUAUGUGUCACUUAGAUUGUUUCACCCCAAGUUCAAGAUCACAAGACUUGCAAACGACGUUUAUUUGCUUCUUUUUUCUUUUACAUGGGAAAAGAUAACAAAUUACUUUAAAUCUUUCAUUAGCAACGUGACUUGAAUCAAUCAAGAGAAAAAACUCCAUUUUCUUGAGUGGAGCUUUCCAAACGAUCAAACCCUCUUUAUUUCUAUGACCUUCAUUUGCCAGAAAAUGGUCACAUUUAUUCUUCUUCCGCAAGAUGUAUGUAAUAGUAGCCUUCAUGGUUUCCAGCAAAUUUUUAUGAUCUUCAAUAAUAGCCCUAACAAGUGAUACUAUCUGUCCUCUUUGAUAAGCUUGACAACAAGUAGGCAGUUUGUUUCCGCCUUUAAUUCUUUAUACCCAAUUCUUUUUGUUAGUUUUGACCCUUGUUUGAUGCUCCAUAGCUCUAUAGUGAGGCUUGAAGUUGGAUUCGUCUUACCUGAAACCCGAUAUCUACUUCCCUUUGUCUCAAAAAUUCCUUAAGUGCCGCAUGUGCCUUGUUUGAGUCUUGACAUUAGCAUUACAGGCAUUUUGAAAAUAAUGCAAUAUUUGUAUCAGGAAUUAUACUAAUUUUGGAAUGUGGUGGCAUGGUGCUAUGCACUCCUGAUUAAAGCCACUUCCUGUGGCUUUGCCUAGACAUCAUCAUCUCUCGUCAGGUUUAGCUAAAAAAUUAUUGGGAAAACAAAAUAAUAAAAGAAAAUUUAUGCGGAAGAAUUGAGCUGAUAUACCCAUAUCUUAUAGUAAUUCUGAAGUGGAUAUUCAAAUUCUUUUAAAAGAUAACAUAAUAUGCAAUUAAGAUCUUUGAGAAGGACAUAAAUUGCAGUUACAUAAAUUGCCUAUGUGUAAUGUGAGAGCACCCCCUGGACUUAAAACUAUAGUAAAACAUCUGAUGUUUUAGUAUGUUGCGUUUUCUGGUUUUCUUUUCUUUAUGCUUUCAGCUGUCUGUAAAUGAGGAGAACAAUUGGAUAGCUCACGAAAAUUAACAUCUUAUGAAGUUUCACUUGAGCAUACAUAACAAAAUAUAACAAGCAUGCUGGUAUUGCAUGCAACUGAUUAGCUCAUAUACACAGAGAAAACAGAGAAGAAGAAAAAGGAGCCAGGAUAGACCAUUCCCCGGAACAUGUGGGGAAGAAGAGAAGUGGCACCAGAUGGAACAACAUUAACGGAGGAAGAAUCCGAGGAAGGAUCAUCCUUCUGUGGCUUUGAUGGCUCUGGAGCAG